GACGAACGCUGGCGGCGUGCUUAACACAUGCAAGUCGAACGGAAAGGCCCUGCUUGCAGGGUGCUCGAGUGGCGAACGGGUGAGUAACACGUGGGUGAUCUGCCCCUUACUUUGGGAUAAGCCUGGGAAACUGGGUCUAAUACUGGAUAGGAACAUGCUGUAGGUGGUGUGGUGGAAAGAUUAGUUUCGGUAAGGGAUGAGCUCGGGGCCUAUCAGCUUGUUGGUGGGGUAAUGGCCUACCAAGGCGUCGACGGGUAGCCGGACUGGGAGGGUGGACGGCCACAUUAGGACUGGGAUACGGCCCAGACUCCUACGGGAGGCAGCAGUGGGGAAUAUUGCACAAUGGGCGCAAGCCUGAUGCAGCGACGCCGCGUGGGGGAUGACGGCCUUCGGGUUGUAAACUCCUUUCAGCCAUGACGAAGCCCUUGUGGUGACGGUAGUGGUAGAAGAAGCACCGGCUAACUACGUG
rnacentral:rRNA from 1 species